rnacentral:lncRNA from 1 species
GUCUAUGUGCGUAUACAACCGAGCCGAGCAGCUUCCAGGUGCCGCCCCGCCGAUCCAUGCGCACCAUCCGAAGGAUCUGAAAGAACCGGAGGCCACGUAAAGCACUCGUGGCGAACACCUGGCCCGAGGUGCCCAUUCCUAAUACUACAAUUGAGGCUAAAAUGAAUGGUCGCUUCACGAACUUCAGUCGACCCAGGCAUCCCUGGUAUCGCGAUCGGCAGCCCGAUGACCAGAGUCGAGCUCCAAACUCCAUUGUGAACCAGAUAACCACCAGGAUCUCCAUGCGGAACAGAAUGUAGACGGCGUCCUCUUCGUACUCCUUGAUGGUGGAAAACACACUGAGCGCCAGGCAGGUGAACACCAUCAGGAAUCUUUAGGAAAUGAGCAAUCACAAAUUAUUGUAAUGUAAAGUAAAUAAAUACUUUUUUCUCUUAUGGCAUUCAAUAAUUUUUAGUGU